GGUACACAAAUCAAUUUUAGGGUUUCUCAUUCUCAUUACAUUUUAUCCGCCCCCAUCGACAUGCUUUCUCUCCAGGCGAUUCAAAGGAUUCAAAAGGAGAUCUAGCGUUUCUCUUGGCCAUUCAAGAUAUGCCUUUCUCAAAUUUCAAAAGCACAAAUGAAUUUCACUGGCUUUCAAUCACCCUUAAAUCUUGGGUGGGCUUUCAAAUUUCAAAAGCCCUAAACAUUUUCAGAUCUGAACAUAAACCAACCACGAAUACUUUUUCAGAUCUACCCUCUACUCCAUGGUUCUAGCUUCUUCCUUUCUCUGGUUUUAGAUAUGAUGGCCAUCGUGUUAUGGAAGAGGUUUGCGACAAAACUGCGGCGAUGGAACCUUUGAAGAUCGACCGUGAUGGCGGCACUUAGGGUUCCGGCCGUGAAAUCGACUUUCUGGGGUUUAAUAUUGGAUGUUCAUUAUUAGGUCAAGAAUAAGAGAAGAGAAAAAAAAAGAUGGUCUUCUGGGCUGAGUCUUUCAACUUUGUAAAUUCGCGGUCGAAUUGAUUUGCCGCAUGGAAAAGUCUUAUUGCUGUUAUAAAACGAGGUAGCGAGCUUGUCGGAGCACAAGCUGCAGGUCCAUCGUAUCGGGGUGGUCUUUAACAAAUGUUGCAGCCAACUGUACCAGCCUCAAGUAUUCUUGAAUUCCAGUUGUCCAUUCUAAAAACGCAUUUCCUUAGGUGACAAGACAUGCAGGUUGAUUGGGAUGGGUAAUGGGUCAAACAUGUUUAGGUUAACACGAGUCACUUUUUAAGCCGGGUUGGAGCGGGUCCAUGCGUUGCGCUUUAUUCUUUUGGGUUUAAGUAGCUGUAUAUUUGGGUAAGUGUUUCUUGCAGCUGUACCUCCUGGCCUUGUGCAGCCGUCUUCGAAGUGCAAGUUGGUGUUUACCCGACGGAAACGAUGACUUCAUUGUCUAUUGUGAUGCCUCGAACCUUGGUCUUGGUUGUGUUCUCAUGCAUCUAGACAAGGUUAUCGCUUACGCCUCUCGUCAGCUCAAGAUCCACGAGAAGAACUAUACAACCCACGACCUCGAGCUAGGCGCAGUUGUUUCUGCGUUGAAGAUUUGGCGACACUACCUUUAUGGUACCAAGUGUACGGUCUUCACCGACCAUAGGAGCCUACAACACAUUUUCAGCCAAAAAGAACUGAAUAUGUGCCAACGCAGAUGGAUAGAACUUCUCAACGAUUACGACUGUGAGACCUGUUAUCACCCUGGUAAAGCAAAUGUCGUUGCUGACGCUCUAAGAAGACGAAGCUAUUUGCAUAGCGUUCGUAAUAUUCAAGCCCAACACCAUCUCGAAAUCCGAGACGCUCAGCAUGUUUGUUUUACCGAAGGCACCUUGAAGAAGGAAAGGAUACUUAACAAUGGCGCCCAGCUAGAAAAUAAAUCGAAUGGUAUAUUCCAUUUUCUGGACCGAAUUCGGAUUCCCAAGCGUACCAAUUUACGACAAAUUCUGCUGGACGAAGCCCAUAAGUCUCGAUAUUCUAUUCAUCCCGGUGCCGAUAAGAUGUACCAGGAACUCCGCUACAAGUACUGGUGGCUGGGCAUGAAGAAAGAUAUCGCUGUCUACGUUUCGAAGUGCCUGACUUUCUCGAAAGUCAAGGCCAAGCAACAAAGACCUGACGUGCUUAUCGUGGUACACACAAAUUUAAUCCAAAUAACAACUAUAGAUAGUGGUAAAUGGUAUCAAACUCAGGGAGUAUGUGGAAAAUGUGUUGAUGUUAUAGCUUUGCACUUUAACUAAAAUUAACCUAAAUUGCAGAAAUAAAAAUCAAGAGUUUGGUUUG